rnacentral:lncRNA from 1 species
CACACCUCUUCCUCCAAUGAAAUAAAAAAAAACCAAUUCGUCUCUAUCCACAGAAAUCAGAUUCUCCCAAAAUCGAUCGUCAAACCCUUAAGCAAAUCAAUAUAUGUUGCCCAAAAAUUCCAACCAUCAUCAUCUCUAACAUUGAUUUCGUUUGAACCAUUUGUGCAUUUCAACAACGUCGGGCCAAAAAACGUAAAAUUUCAACCGUCUUCUUCUUCGGGAGCAUUUAAUGAGGUGGGUGACCUGCAGGUCCAUGUGUACUUGGCUAGGCUGCUUGCUCUGGUUUUACCUGCUCUAAUUAUGAUGGCGUAUCUGGGAAAUUCUUUUCUUAAAAAUUGAAAGUUCUUAAUUCAAGAUGUUAUUUUUAUCUAUUUUUUUAAGAUUAAUAGAUGUUAAUUAAUAUCAGUGUGUGUGUGUGUGUGUGUCCUCGCCCCUCUCUCUCUAUGUAGGUGUGUAUAUGUGUGUGAAUUAUUCAUCUAUCAGGUUAGUUGUCUUUAUUUGAGAUUUUUAACGAAUAGGAUCGAUCCCAUAUCAAGCCCCGAGAUUGUUUUCUACAAUAAGCAUUUGUUUUUUAAACAUUAAAAUUGGCAAAUACCUUGUUUAUUUAUGCCUGGUUUGCAUUAAACUGUAAUGUGUUGUUGCUGAAGUGAAUAUAUGUAACAUUAAUUCACUCAAGCAUACUAAUUUAUAGUUAUCUUUAUUUUAUUGCAGGAGAUGUUUCCUAAAGUAGGUCAUAGCUUCAAACAGACUCUUCGGAUUUCUUCUACUAUCUACUUGCAAGAGAUGUUUCUUCUACUCUUCAGGUUUCAUUCUGUAUUGCAUAUGAGGGAACAAAUGCAACUCAUUAAAGCUUUGCUGUGGAAUCAAGUAUGAUUUAUAAGAUAAGAGAAUUUUAGAUGUUGCGACGAUUCAUAGCACAUAUCUUUCAUGCUUCAUAAAGCCAUCUAGUACGUGGGCGGAGGAUUGGGUUUGUCUCUCAACUCCAUUAUCCCCGAGUGCAUCUGUAGAACAACUAUUAGUUACAAAUGACCAUGGUGUAAUCUGCAGUUAGUCAUUUUUGGAGCAUUUCAUUGUAUAAGUAGCUUAAUUGCUAGUAAAAUUUAUUCUUUUGAUAUUCAACAUACAAUGA